UGGGGAAUAUUGCACAAUGGGCGCAAGCCUGAUGCAGCCAUGCCGCGUGUGUGAAGAAGGCCUUCGGGUUGUAAAGCACUUUCAGCGGGGAGGAAGGCGAUAAGGUUAAUAACCUUGUCGAUUGACGUUACCCGCAGAAGAAGCACCGGCUAACUCCGUGCCAGCAGCCGCGGUAAUACGGAGGGUGCAAGCGUUAAUCGGAAUUACUGGGCGUAAAGCGCACGCAGGCGGUCUGUCAUGUCGGAUGUGAAAUCCCCGGGCUCAACCUGGGAACUGCAUUCGAAACUGGCAGGCUAGAGUCUUGUAGAGGGGGGUAGAAUUCCAGGUGUAGCGAUGAAAUGCGUAGAGAUCUGGAGGAAUACCGGUGGCGAAGGCGGCCCCCUGGACAAAGACUGACGCUCAGGUGCGAAAGCGUGGGGAGCAAACAGG
rnacentral:rRNA from 1 species